GGGUGGGGGAGCCCCAGCACUCUGCACUGCUCUGGGAAGGCUGGAUUUUCCACACCUCGUAAAUCGCCGCAUAUCAAACUCUCCUUAAAAUAUCUCAUCUCAUGUGCGACUCAGAACACUUGUGAGAUUCAAUCAACCUGACAUUCAAUCAACAUCCGUCAACUGACAGCAUGGAAAUGAAGAUGAGAAUAACUGUCCCUGAGGAUUGCACAUCAUGAACUGGUCAAAGUAAAAUGUCCCACUCAGCCUGUGGCACACCUCAGAGUCCCCAACACAGGACUCCUGACAGACAUUAGCAAUUGAUUGGAGUGUGUCCACUCAUGCUAACACGUACAUCAUUGAUACCAGCUACGUUCAGAAGGGCAGGAUUUGAUUUGAGGAAGAGAAUAAGGAACAAGCAUUGCUCGAUGUAGAGGUAAGAAAGGGCACCAGGGGAGAAAAAGGUACAAGUUCUCUGGCCAGAUAGAGUUUCUAAAAUGUUACUACUGGGGCC